rnacentral:rRNA from 1 species
GAUGAACGCUGGCGGCGUGCCUAACACAUGCAAGUCGAACGGAGAUUCCGGACGAGAGUUUUUGGAUGGAAGCCUGUAAUUCUUAGUGGCCGACGGGGGAGUAACGCCGUGGCUACCUGCCCUAUACCGUGGGGUAGGCGCCGGAAACGGCUGGUAAGUACGCAAUAAUCGCUUAAUUCGCCUGGUCUUAUCGGGCAAUAAGCAAUUAGGUUUAGGAUGGGUCCGCGUCCGAUUAGCCAGUUGGCAGGGUAAAAGCCUACCAAAGCGACGAUCGGUAGCCGGACUGAGAGGUCGGACGGCCACAUUGGAACUGAGACACGGCCCAAACUCCUACGGGAGGCAGCAGUGGGGGAUAUUGCACAAUGGAGGAAACUCUGAUGCAGCGACGCCGCGUGAGUGAAGAAGUAUUUCGGUAUGUAAAGCUCUAUCAGCAGGGAAGAUGAUGACGGUACCUGAAGAAGAAGCCCCGGCUAACUACGUG